rnacentral:lncRNA from 1 species
AUUCUCCUGCCUCAGCGUCUGCCUCAGCGUCUGCCUCAGCCUCCCGAGUAGCUGGGACUACAGGCAGCCGCCGCUACGCCCCGCUAAUUUUUUGUAAUUUUUAGUAGAGACGGGGUUUCACUGUGUUGGCCAGGAUGAUCUCAAUCUCCUGUGUCUUUAACUCUUCUUAAUUCCCCACUGAUGACGAAAAUGAUAGAAAGCAAUAAACCAGAUUUGAAAUUCAGAGUGAAACAUCUAAGAUCGUCUGCAGUGCAGUGGCACGCUCUCUGCAACCUCUGUCUCCCGGGUUCAAACCAUUCUCCUGCCUCAAUCUCCAGAGUGGCUGAUAUUACAGGAUUCCACCACCAAACCCAGGUUUAUAUGUGCAACUUGACAUUCCAAACAAAUACUUCAAGUCAAAAUAUUCCAAGCCGAAAUUCCUUCCAAACAUGCAUUUCAGCCUGGUUAUCUCUUGGUAAGUCACACUACCAUUCUAUACAAUUCUAAAUUUCAAAGCUAUGAAUGCAUUUCUCUGACUACUAGCAUAAAGCUGUUAAUACAGUAUUUGUACAGUAUUUAUAAUAUCUCAAUGUAUUUUUACUAAAUAUUUUCUUAAAGGUGUCACACUUACUGUCUUUUCAUGGACAUAUGUCAUUUCUUGACUAGAAUAUUAAUCUAACUCCCAUUGCUUUUAUGGGUUUUUUAAUUAUUAACUUAAUGUUCCUAUAAAAGUUCAUGUGUUUCAUCUGUAAAAUCUUCAACAACAUAAUACUUGCACUAUACUCUAGGAUAAGGUCUAAAUGUCUUGUUUUUACACAUAAAACUGAUAAAUUUCUGGACUUGAACACUAACACCUCAAGCUCAAUUGUCAUCAUACACACACACCUGUCCUUAACAAACACACACACACACACACACAAACUCUCCACAUUGGGAUCCAGCGAAAAUUAUUAUAUUUGAUUUUAUGUAUACACAGCAUUAUUUUCAUCUACCUCUUUCUUGGAUCACUCUUUCUCUUUGGCAUAUAAUACUUUUGAGCACAUUUCCUCCAAAUACUAUAAGAGGUAAUCUGCUCCAAAUUUGCUUCAUAUGAAACUCUUCUUUGUCUCAGAACUAUUUUAUUUAUUCUUGAUGCCCACAAAUGAAUUCUGACUUCUAUAGUUAUAUCUUUACCACAUUCUUACAAAUUAUAGUUUUAUUUCUCUUUCUUUUCCAAUCAAACCAUAAGCUCUUGAGGAAAAGAGUGGUAUUCUCCCAAUAACUUGGUUGUUAAUCUUAGGUUUAUUAUCUCAUCAAAUGAAAUGUCCCAUCCUGAAACUGUGAAAUUUGAUGUGUAAUUAACAUAAAGUGUUAGAGUUUUGUUCUUGUUGUUGAUGUUGUUACAAUCCUACCAAAAAGACUGGCAUUUCCACAGCACUGGCAUCCAGAGUAGUAGCAUCAGUAGAAAUUUGUAGCUAUAACCUCAGCAGCAGUGUUUCCAUCUACUACUCCUCAAACCUUUACUGUUGUUUCAGAUACCUCUAAAAUACUUGCCAUUUCAUUAGUCUUCAAAUACUUUGAUCCACUUUCUAUAUAUUCAAUACAUGUAUUUUUCUAAUUUAUUUAGCUAGAGUAAAUUUCACCUAGAAAAAAAGAACCUUGACUGAAACGAAUUUAUGUAUUCAGCACCAAAAAUAUGCUUAAUAUUAUUGAAGUUUAAUUUAUAUUUGUGGACUGUAGAAAUGAGUGAAUAAGAAGUCUGCUUAAUAUUAAUAAGGUAAUAAAAGUUAACAUUUAUUGUGUGUUCAGUUUAUAUAAAACUUUUGCAACUAACUUCGCAGAAAUGAACAUGUUUACUCUUAACUUCAUUCUUUUGAGGUGGAUACUAUUAUCUUUGCUUUACUUUGGAGGUCAUUGAGGCAUAGAAAAGUUAGCUGCAUGACUCAAAGUCACCCCUAGUAAGUGAUGCAGCUGAGAUUUGUACUUAGACAUCUGUUUCAAGAACCUACAACCAUUGUAUUAUUCUACACUGUCUCUUAUAGCACGAUAAACAGUUUGCUUUUUGUUUGUGUUGUUUCUUCAUUGAGAUCAUUGUCAUUUAAGCAAAAAGAAAUGAGUACUGUGCAUAUAUAACAUUGGACCAUAUUUUUCAACUGUCUUUUGUCCAAAACAAAAGAAUAUAUGUAAAACAUAUAGUUUGAUCCAAAUUCGAAAAAAAAGUGAAAAACAGUUUUAAUGAUCAUCUUCCCAGCUGUGUGGUUUGCUUGUUAAUAAGUGUGAUCCAUAAAUAAAUCAGUUGGUAUUCAUAACAAUAUCGAAGUAAAGAAUAAACACCUUCUAUUUUAAAAAUCUAGAAUCAAUCAACUCCAGGGAAAUGAGAAGUAUAGUAGAAUCACAUAAGUAUUUAGGCAUAUCUUAUUUUAUUAUAUAAAUAUAUGCAUAUAAUAUAUACAUUAUGCAUAUAUCAUUGUAAAUGACUCUACAUUUAAUUUUCAUAUAAAUUAGGUUUUUAGAUUCUAUGUCUUUAUAGAGGCAAAGCCUAAGUCAAAAUAAGAAUUAGUUUGGUAAAGACAGAAUACCAAUGAAGAGCUAUCUUUUGAAUUUUUUCUAAAUGUUCUUAUAUUAAGCCUUUGUCAGAACUGGAGGAGGAACAGAGUGUUCCAAAGCCUUGGACCCAUGACAAAAAUCUCUUCUUCUGAAUUUUUCAUCAUUUAUCAUUUAACUACAAAAUGUCAGAAAUAAAAAAGACACCAUCAGAAAUUUUUUCAGAUCCUAACUUUUCACCCCAAUUAUGGCCUUAAGAAUAAAGUAUAAAAAAUUUCAAGCACAGAACUGAAAAUAAAAAGGAGCUGGUCCAUUUCCAAAAGACUUGCUUUCAAUUAUAUACAUUAGAGAGAGCAUUAGCUUUAAAACUCAAUAUUCUACAAUCAUGACUUUUUAUUGACCUAUCAAAAAGUUGAGACUACAGAAAUUGUGACUUUCUAAAAUAAAAGCUUAAUGCAAGAUAUUGUUGCAUAUAUUUCUCCAAGUAGUAGCAUGCAAUGUUUAUCCACUUAUUCAUAUUCAUUUUUUCAAUAUGAAAAAAUUUUGAGGCAAUAUCAUCUAUUGAAGUCUGUGACCUACAAAGAAAGCAACAAUUAUGCAUUUAGAUCUACUGUAAACAUAAAAUAUACACAGUAUUGAGUGUCGAUGAUCUACAUUGAAGUCAGGACAAUCAUUGGCAUAAAUAAUUUUCCAAAUUAACCAUUUAAAUAUUUCAACAUUUAAUAUGUGUGUUAGAUGUUAAAGUGUUUUAAUUAAAAUCUUGAAAACAAGGAAUUUUGUUGGUUCGAAGGGAGAGGUGGUACUCAAUUCAUUAUGUUUUGCUAGUUUCAUUUUCGAAACACUGGGAUAAACAGAUACCUGGAUUUCUGUUUGUUCUAAAUGGGCUGUUACAUGGUAAACACACACACACUUAUAUACAAUAAGUAUAGCAAUGAAAGUAAUAUCUGAAAUAAUCUAACACUUUUAAAUAUCAUGUUAGCAGUUGCACAAGUGCAUUUCCUUCUUGGACACAUGAUUCUUGUACUCUAUAUUCUCUGGGUCCCUGUUUUGAUUUGUUCCUUUGCUUUCUAAGCCUGAAGCUGAAUUUGCACUCUCAGAUUUUAUUCCCUUGCCCUCCUGAGUUUUCUCAUCUGUUUCCUGGAAGUCAUGUAUUUCAUUUAUUUGAUUUAAAACAAAUAAACAAAAAUAAUGGAGCCUUAAGGAGUUUGUCCCAGAAGAAUUAGGGGAGGGUACUCAUGCACAUCCCUGCAAAUCUAAAAGUAUAUUUAUGUUACUCCACAAAUGAUUUAUAUUCUGGCAAAAUUUGAUAAAAAUUCACCAAAAAUUCAAAAAUUCAAAAAAUCCAAAAAUUGGAUUCACCAAAUCCAAUUUUUAAAAUGUAUAAAAUAUCAGCUUGAAAGGGUACAUAGAGUAUUAAAUAAACUAUAUGAGAAGCAAAUCCAAAUAGCUACUUAGAAAAGUAAAUUUUAAAGCAUUAAGACGUAUUUCUGAAGGCUUCUGGAAAUACAAAGCUAUUUAUUAAAAAUUAAGAAUUGAUCUUAAGAGCAACACUAGUUAAAAUAAAAUCAUGGGUUAAUAUUUAGCAGGAUUUGAAGGGAAAUAAUUUAUUAUUUUGAUAUGAAAUAAUCAAAAUAAACAUACACUGGACCAUCAAAGAACCUUAAAAUAUUAAACAACAUAACUUAUAAUAAAUUACCUAUAUGGAAUAAAAUGAAAUUAGAGCUCACUAAAAAAUGGGGUAUUAAAAAUAACUUGUUUUGGAAAACUAUAGUAAACAUCCCACAAGCAAAAGAAAAAAACUUUGAAGAAAUUAUGGCUUACUUAGAACUGAAUUACUGUAACAUGUCAGAAACAGCUAAAGGGAAAAUUUUCAGUUGGAGGACAUUUUUCAGAAACAAAGAAAUUUCCAAACUGUGAUGGCAGUCUUUAACUCCAAAAGUUAAAAAAACAUAAAAAUAAUUCAUUCUUUCAAAUAAGAAAUAAUAUAGAAAAAGGCA